rnacentral:rRNA from 1 species
AUACAGAGGGUGCAAGCGUUAAUCGGAAUUACUGGGCGUAAAGCGUGCGUAGACGGUUACAUAAGUCGGGUGUGAAAGCCCCGGGCUCAACCUGGGAAUUGCAUUCGAGACUGCGUAGCUAGGGUACGGAAGAGGGAGGCGGAAUUUCAGGUGUAGCGGUGAAAUGCGUAGAUAUCUGAAGGAACACCAGUGGCGAAAGCGGCCUCCUGGUCCAGUACCGACGUUCAGGCACGAAAGCGUGGGGAGCAAACAGGAUUAGAUACCCUGGUAGUCCACGCCAUAAACGAUGAGAACUAGACGUUGGAGGGGUAAGCCCUUCAGUGUCGCAGCUAACGCGCUAAGUUCUCCGCCUGGGGAGUACGGCCGCAAGGUUGAA